GGAAGGGGUGUAUUUAUUAGAUUAAAAACCAAUGCCCUUCGGGGCUCCCUGGUGAUUCAUAAUAACUUCUCGAAUCGCACGGCCUUGCGCCGGCGAUGGUUCAUUCAAAUUUCUGCCCUAUCAACUUUCGACGGCAGGGUCUUGGCCUGCCAUGGUGACAACGGGUAACGGAGGGUUAGGGCUCGACCCCGGAGAAGGAGCCUGAGAAACGGCUACUACAUCCAAGGAAGGCAGCAGGCGCGCAAAUUACCCAAUCCCGACUCGGGGAGGUAGUGACAAUAAAUACUGAUACAGGGCUCUUUUGGGUCUUGUAAUUGGAAUGAGUACAAUUUAAAUCCCUUAACGAGGAACAAUUGGAGGGCAAGUCUGGUGCCAGCAGCCGCGGUAAUUCCAGCUCCAAUAGCGUAUAUUAAAGUUGUUGAGGUUAAAAAGCUCGUAGUUGAACCUUGGGCCUAGCCGGCCGGUCCGCCUCACCGCGUGCACUGGCUCGGUUGGGCCUUUCUUUCUGGAGAACCCCAUGCCCUUCACUGGGUGUGGUGGGGAACCAGGACUUUUAC
rnacentral:rRNA from 1 species